UGGCAUAAGCCAGCUUGACUGCGAGCGUGACGGCGCGAGCAGGUGCGAAAGCAGGUCAUAGUGAUCCGGUGGUUCUGAAUGGAAGGGCCAUCGCUCAACGGAUAAAAGGUACUCCGGGGAUAACAGGCUGAUACCGCCCAAGAGUUCAUAUCGACGGCGGUGUUUGGCACCUCGAUGUCGGCUCAUCACAUCCUGGGGCUGAAGUAGGUCCCAAGGGUAUGGCUGUUCGCCAUUUAAAGUGGUACGCGAGCUGGGUUUAGAACGUCGUGAGACAGUUCGGUCCCUAUCUGCCGUGGGCGCUGGAGAACUGAGGGGGGCUGCUCCUAGUACGAGAGGACCGGAGUGGACGCAUCACUGGUGUUCGGGUUGUCAUGCCAAUGGCACUGCCCGGUAGCUAAAUGCGGAAGAGAUAAGUGCUGAAAGCAUCUAAGCACGAAACUUGCCCCGAGAUGAGUUCUCCCUGACUCCUUGAGAGUCCUGAAGGAACGUUGAAGACGACGACGUUGAUAGGCCGGGUGUGUAAGCGCAGCGAUGCGUUGAGCUAACCGGUACUAAUGAACCGUGAGG
rnacentral:rRNA from 1 species